UACGUAGGUGGCAAGCGUUGUCCGGAAUUACUGGGCGUAAAGGGCGCGUAGGCGGAACAUUAGGUUAGGGGUGAAAGGCCUGGGCUCAACCUGGGAACGGCCUCUAAGACUGAUGAUCUUGAGUUCGGAAGAGGAUGGCGGAAUUCCCAGUGUAGAGGUGAAAUUCGUAGAUAUUGGGAAGAACACCGGUGGCGAAGGCGGCCAUCUGGUCCGGAACUGACGCUGAGGCGCGUAAGCGUGGGGAGCAAACAGG
rnacentral:misc_RNA from 1 species